CGAAGCAACAUAAUCAUAAGAAAAUAAAAAGUCGCAGAAAGAAAAAAAAGACAAACAAGGAUAAAGUUCUACUAGUCAAUUUCUUCCCAUCCAAAUAUAUUUUCCAGAGAACACCAUUUUAGAAGCUGUCUAAUUCCUAAUCCAUCAUACUCAACGCAUGAAGUAAAAGUACAACUGAUUAAUACACCCUUACGUUAUU
rnacentral:lncRNA from 1 species